UGGGGAAUAUUGCACAAUGGGCGCAAGCCUGAUGCAGCAACGCCGCGUGAACGAUGAAGGUCUUCGGAUCGUAAAGUUCUGUUGCAGGGGAAGAUAAUGACGGUACUCUGUGAGGAAGCCCCGGCUAACUACGUGCCAGCAGCCGCGGUAAUACGUAGGGGGCUAGCGUUAUCCGGAUUUACUGGGCGUAAAGGGUGCGUAGGUGGUCUUUCAAGUCGGUGGUUAAAGGCUACGGCUCAACCGUAGUUAGCCUCCGAAACUGGAAGACUUGAGUGCAGGAGAGGAAAGUGGAAUUCCCAGUGUAGCGAUGAAAUGCGUAGAUAUUGGGAGGAACACCAGUAGCGAAGGCGGCUUUCUGGACUGCAACUGACACUGAGGCACGAAAGCGUGGGUAGCAAACAGG
rnacentral:rRNA from 1 species